UGGUACGUCUAAUUGUAAAAUAUAAGGUAGAUUAAUGGAUACCAUGAAGCCACAUCAGUUUGUGGGUUUACUUUGUGUAAUCUCUUAUAUCGAUAGCAGUUCUCUUGAAAAACUGGACCCAAAGUUUGAUGGCUGGAUUUGGGUGUGACUGCAGUGGGGCAAUGAAGCUUCUCCUGUUGUUUUGUUUUCUGAUUUGUAAAAGUUUUUUGAACUAUUUGCUAUUGGGAAAAUCUUUGCUUUGUCUUUACAAAAUAGUAGAUUGAGUUGUGAACGGUGAAAUCUUGUUUGAAAGCUAAGUUGACAUCUUGUCCUUGGGUGGAUUGUGCUUUUCUUAUUUCUUGUUCAGUAUUAUUGUCUUUCCACUUCUACUGGUUCUGCAUUCUUGGGAUAUGAUUUUUUCAUGUGCGGAUAGAUUGAACAGCCUAUGAAUUUCGUUUGGAGAAGUUGAAAAUAGGGGAUUAACCGAGCUGAGUAAAUAGGACUGCAUGAGAUGAGAUGAUUUGUUUCUCUCUCUUCAUAUGGUUUGAGCUUCAGUCUAGAGGAAAUAUGACGGUUUUUUUUGCUAGGAUGUUCAUUUGCGUUUUGGAGGAAGGUCUCUAUGUUCUUUUCUUACUAUUCCCAGUUUUGUGUUUUCUUUGUCUUCACUUGGUUUUUUCUCCUAAUUUGAUUUUUUUUUCUUUAUCUGUUUGGAGGUCAAGUGUGGAGCAAAUUUGAGUGUUCUUUUACUAAAGGGUCUUUGUCUAUGGUCGGGAGAGGAUCCCUUUGUGUUUUUUCUUCUGACUCUUUUGUAUUGUGUUUUUUUCUCUUCGGUUUUGGGCCUUAUUUUAUGUCGUCUCUGAUCUAGUAUUCUCUGUUGUGGUUGCCAUGUGCUUGUUUGUAGGUGUUCUUCCUUUGGGGCCUUUUCCCCCAAUGUUUUUGCUUCUCCAUGAUGGUGUUCUUACAUGUUGAGGUUGUCUAUGUGGGGUCUUCAAAUUCAUCUCAGUGUGCUUCUGGCUAUCUAGUUCUGACAAAUUUGCCAAAAUUGGGCUUUCCUUUUUCACACAACCCACCACACAGAGACAUGCAAGCUUCCCAUACAAAGAGACCUGAAACUAAAACCUCCAGAAUCGUUUCUGAACACAAACCAAUGCACAUUUACUUUAUUUUUUCUCUUAUGUUUUUCUAUUUUCUCAAGCAGUGGUACUUGUAAAAAAAAAAAAAAAUCUCAAGCAGUGGCUUUCUGCUCUCAUGGCCGCAGGGGACUUGAUUGACUCGGCUGUUUGGGCUUAGCUGGGGAAUCACAAUUGCAAUAGUUGGAAUUUUCAGUUUGUGAAUAUUGUUCUUUGCUUUUGCUUUGCCAUUCUCUAUUGCUUCUUUGACGAGAUUCAUCCAUAUUCUCAAAGAGCUUUCUGGCUGCCUUAGUGUGAAAUGAGCUUACAGGCACAUGCAGAGUAUGAAACAACUAGGGGACACUAUGUACAUGAAGACUGUCCAAGACGUUAAUCCUGACUUCUAUUUUAUUUUUUAGGAUCUUCUUUUCUUGGGUCUCUGAUAUCCUUUUAGGACUUGGAGCAUUAGCCUGUGCCUCGUGGAAUCUUCCCCAUUUGUACUUCUUGUUUACUUGGAUUGCAUCCUAUUGGUUGCUUCUUUUGGUGUAACAGAACUUUUCUUGGAAAAAAGGUUAAAAUUUGAAUAGGUUCUUGAAACUCGUUGCUGGCCCUAAUAUAUGUGUAGUUGAGGUGUCGUUUAAGUUUAUGUUACAAACAUAUUGUCAUCAACGAUGGCUAAAUACAGUAAAAAAGUCCAUGGAAAUGUUUUCUCGAGAUUGCACGACAUUCUAGAGGAAACUGUACAAUCUCUAUUACACAAACAAAACUAAGUACGUACGAUACCCCAUAUGAUAAAGAUAAGGAUAGGUGGUAUAUGGGAUCCCACAUUGCUUGGGAAAGAGAGGUUCUUACUCUUUAUAAGGUUCCAAUUGUAUCAUUAACUAGUCAUUUUGUAGUAUAGGCUCUGUGAUUUAGGCCUUCCAUUGAGGCAUUACAAAUGGUAUUGGAGCCUAUCCCAACCACAAAUGUGGGACUUGAGCCGUGCCUCCUAAGACGGAAGGGCCCAAUGAGGAUGUUAGGAAUUUAAGAGGGGGAGAUUGUGAUAUCCCAUAUGAUAAGGAUAAUGGUAGGUAAUGUAUGAGAUCCCACAUUGUUUGGGGUGGAGAAGUUUUUGCUCUUUAUAAGGUUCUAAUGGGACUCCAAUUGUAUCAUUGAUUAGUCCUUUUGGAGUACAGGCCAUGUGAUUUGGGCUUUCUAUUGGGGCGUUACAGUAUGCUAUUGUGGCCUUAAAGAAAAUGGGAAAAAGAGAAACAAAUAAAUAUGUUAUAUGUGGUAUAUUAGAAUGUUAGUAUGAUUAUUAGUUUUAUGAUAGCCUAUUUCCUAUUAAUACUGUCUUGAUGCAAAAAAAAUUAUCAAGAAAAGAAUACUCUGUGUUAAUGCAGCUUGGCCUGCUUGGGGGUUUAAUUCAUGUAUCAAUACUGUGAGCGGAAUUGCAGACUAUGGGUACUUGUUUACAAUAGUCUUCAAGAUGCGAUUCGCACUACAAAAUGCUAUCAUGAUGUUGACCUUUCUAGUAGUUCAGACUGUAAGUGUUUUAUUUCACUAAGCAUACUCUACUUCUAUGAGGGUCUCUAUAAGAUUUGGGUUAUGUUAAGACCCAUAUUAGGGAGAGCUUGAAAAAUGGUUUGAGAGAUGAGAUCUGUUUUGGUGUUUAAAAGAUAUUUGGAUUGAAAGUGAAGAACUUUUCUAAAAAGUUUUCAAAAUCUUAUGAACAAAACAAUACUUCCUAAGACCUAUUUUUUUGCCCUUUUUUAUUCUCCAUUGCCCUUUUAUUCAUUUUUUCUUUAGUUUUUUUUUUUUUUUUUAAACUACGUUGUUUAUUUUUUCAUGUUUCAAUAUACUAAUGCCUAUUUAAUCUGAUUUUUGUAUGGUAAUUCUUGUUUAAUGUAUCUCUCUCCUUUAAAUGUUCCCUCUCUGUGUUCCUGUUGAGCAGGUAAACUGCAGAGUUUGCUUAAAUAUAUGGAAUGGUGUUGUUACUAUUGCCCCUUGGCUUCAUAACUUCUGGGCGUUGAGCACGCAAAACCCAGAAUUGCUUUAAUAUAUGGCUUGAUGCUCUUGAAUUUAUAACUUUUAUGGUUGAUGCGCAAUUUUAUUGUUGAUAUCUUUAGUAUUGAUUGGAUACUGAGUUUUGGUUUAUGAGUUUCGGGUUUUUCAUGCCGCAGUAUUUAAAGAAUUCCAUUUUUAUUACCAAACAAAUUCGUUACCGAUUUGCUUGGUUUAUGAGUUCUUGUUUUCACAUGUUGCAGUAAACUAUGAAGAAUUCCAUGUUUUGUACCAAACAGAUGAGCUAUAGCUCAAAUUUUUAAAUGAAAAACUUUUGGGAAUUGCAUACUUGUUGCUUGGAUAAGAUCACUUGUUAAAUGUUUUGAGUUGCGGAUUAACAUUUGUCCUUUUUAUUUGUACACAAACCUGGUUUUCUUUUCAUGCAAAUCUGUGGAUGGUAUAACAAAGUGGAAUUGGGUGAAAAUGGUUGCAGAAGUCCCAUUGGCAUGUGGACUUGACAUUUCCUUACCCAUGCUGUGUAUGUGCCAUAUAGAUAAUGCACGUUCUUUCAUCCUUGUCUCUAUGUAACUCUAGUUGAUUUUGGGAUACAUGGAAACCUUAUUGUUGGGAUAUGAUUUUUUCGUGUAGAUAGACUGAACAGCUCAUGAGUUUUAUCUGGAGAAGUUGAAAAUUGGGGAUUGACCAAGCAAAUAGCCUCUGAGUUAAUAGGCCUUCAUGAGAUGAGAUGAUUUGUUUGUCUCUUCAUCCUGUUCGAGGUUCAGUCUUGUGCAAAUAUGAUGGUUCUUUUUGCAAGGGUGUUCUUCUGCAGAUAGGAGGAUGGUCUUUUUGUUCUAUUCCUACGAUGCCCAGUUUUGUGUUUUCUUCCUCUUCUGUUGGUUUGUUUGCCUAAUUUUAUUCUUGAUUUUAUAUGUUCGGGGGUCGAGUGUGAAGCCAAUUUGAGUGUUCUAUCUCUAAGGGUCUUCGUCUAUGGUUGGGAAAGGAGCUAUGUUUUUUCUUCCACUCCUCACUUGCGUGUGCUUUUUUUGUUUCUCUUCAUUUUUUGGCCUUAUUUUGUGUUAUCAUUGAAUAUUAUUCUCUGUUGUCAUUGCAAUGUGCUUGUUUGUAGAUGCUCUACAUUGGGGCCUUUUUUUUCCUGAUAAUCUUUGAUUCUCCGAGAUGGUGUUGAUGCAUGUUGAGAUCGUCUGUGUGGGAUCUUCAAAUUGGUCUUAUUGUGUUGCCUGCUAGAAGAAAAUCUAGGCAGUGGCUUUCUGCUCUCUUGGCAGUACAGGGAAUUGAUUGACUUGGGCUGCAUGGGCUUAGCAAGGGUCAACUUCUUCAUCUUGUUAGCCCCAGGCAUGACCUUCUUCUGGGGUUUCCUCUUUUUAAGCUUCUUAGCUAUGGUUUCUGAAAUUUGUCCCGUGCUGGGUUGUCUUGGCCUUUGCGAGCUUGUCAUUUUUUAGUCAAGUGCAAUGCCUUGCAGCCAAGUUCUUCAAUUGUAGACCCAAUAUCUUCUGGUAGUACGCAAGGAGUAAGGCUUUGUGCCUCUCCUUCAUGUACUUGGCUAUGGUGUAUGGCUUGGACCCACUUUUCUCCUUCAGACCUGACAGAGCCUCCUUCAUCAUCCAAAACUUGGUUUUUACUUGCUGAUUUGGGUGUUUUUGUUCUGUGGUCCGAUGCUUGACCAUCUAGGAUUCAAACCAAUACUCUUCUUGCUCUGCAGGUUCCUGUAUUUUAAUCGAUUGGUGGGCGGUUGAUCAUUGGUAAAACUUUAUUCUCUACAUCUUCUUGAUUGAUUGGAUUCUUGCUCUGCAGGUUCCUGUAUUUUGAAUGUCAAGAGUUGUAAAAUAUAGCGGUGUCAGACAAAUGCCAAUGACCAAGUUGCAUGCUCGACUGAAGCAGCCUUCUGCUUUCUGGCGUGCGAUUUAAAAAAAUGCUGCAGUUUGACUAUUUUUUGCUGUUGAUUCUUCUCGCUGAGGUUUUAAUACCAGAACAUCAUGAGGUUGCUCAACCAAGUGUGACUUUGGAUAGAUGUUCAAAGAGAUUUGAUCUUUUUAUUUGAAACUCAGAUUAAGGAGACAAUGAACUCUUGCCCAGACAACCUCUCCUCUCCUUGCAAGAAGAUGGUGAAGGAUGUGUUGAUUGAGGAGACAGAUGAACUCGACCAUAUGAUCUCCGAGGCCCUUGCAAAAAGAAGGUGAAGGAUGCAGCAUCAUGCAUGGUUCCGGAGUCAGCGAGUAAACGUGUAAAGAGAAGUCUGGCUGAGGAUGAAACAUCUGACACUCCUGCUGUGAAGCUUGUGAAAGUUCAAUUUUCAGCUAUAAGCAACCCAAGGCACAGGUAUGGAAGUAACCAUUGGCAAAAUGUUUGCUGUUGUUCUUGGAGAUGUCAAACUUGGCUCAAUUUAAUGAGUCAUAGAUUUUCUGAGCAUCCACAGACUGUCCUUGUUUAAAAUCUCCAUAGUAAAUUGAUUUGAAUUGUUUUUAAAUUUGGCAGAGGUGCUGUUGCAUAUUCUUUCUUCUUGCUUAAUCUUUCAAAUACUUUUAACUUCAUAGAUGCAACAUACGCAAACUCAUAUAGAUGAAAUUUGACGGUUCUUUUUAUGGGGGGUCUUUGUCUACAGUUGGGGGAGGGAUGGUUUUUGUGUUGUGUUAUUCAAACUUUCAGUUCUGUGUGCUUCUUCUCUUUUCUUUUGUUCGCCUUAUUUCUCUGUUAAACUCUGUUAAGGUUGGCAUGUGCACGUUUCUAGUUUUGGGGCUUUAUUUUCUGAUAGUUUUCGCUUUUCUGAACCAGAAACAGUCUUUGUUAUAACAGGACAUAUCCUAUUAGUGGUAUUCUAUGUCUUACAGUAUGUAAAACACACUUCACUGUAAUUUCUAGGCUUCAGUUCAAAUUAUCUAAUGUACGUUGAGCAGAUACUCUUAUUUUAUCUUUUCUUGUUGCCUCUAUGGUAGCUUAGCUAAAAAUUGAAGUAGUGUCUAGCCUGGAAAUCAGCAAGAAGCAAUUACAGGUGAGUAAACUGUUUGAUGUAUCUCUGUGCUUUAAAUGUUUCCUUGAGGGCUAUAUUCCAAUAUGUAGGUGCUGAUGGCUUAGAUCUCUUGAUUUGGUUUUACCAUAUUUCUGUUCACAUGGAGCAAGUAAACUGCAGAAUUUGCUUAACUAUGUGGCAGGAUGUGACUAUUGCCCCUCACCUUUCAUAACUUAUAUACAGCACGCAGAACCCACAAAUACUUUAAUAUAUGGCUUGCCACUUGAUGUUGUUA